CAGCCGCCGCGGGAAUACAGAGGGUGCAAGCGUUAAUCGGAAUUACUGGGCGUAAAGCGCGCGUAGGUGGUUCGCCAAGUUGGAUGUGAAAUCCCCGGGCUCAACCUGGGAACUGCAUCCAAAACUGGCGAGCUAGAGUAUGGUAGAGGGUGGUGGAAUUUCCUGUGUAGCGGUGAAAUGCGUAGAUAUAGGAAGGAACAUCAGUGGCGAAGGCGACCACCUGGACUGAUACUGACACUGAGGUGCGAAAGCGUGGGGAGCAAACAGGAUUAGAUACCCCGGUAGUCCCUGUCUCUUAUAC
rnacentral:rRNA from 1 species